UACGUAGGUGGCAAGCGAUACUCGGAAUCACUAGGCGUAAAGCGCAGGUAGGUGGUUUGAUAAGUCUUUUGUGAAAGCUCCCGGCUCAACUGGGAGAGGUCAAGGGAAACUGUCAGACUAGAGUUUGGUAGGGGAUACUGGAAUUCCUGGUGUAGCGGUGAAAUGCGUAGAUAUCAGGAGGAAUACCUAUGGCGAAAGCAGGUAUCUGGGCCACAACUGACACUGAGCUGCGAAAGCUAGGGGAGCAAACGGG
rnacentral:rRNA from 1 species